rnacentral:rRNA from 1 species
GAUGAACGCUGGCGGCGUGCCUAAUACAUGCAAGUCGAGCGAACGGACGAGAAGCUUGCUUCUCUGAUGUUAGCGGCGGACGGGUGAGUAACACGUGGAUAACCUACCUAUAAGACUGGGAUAACUUCGGGAAACCGGAGCUAAUACCGGAUAAUAUUUUGAACCGCAUGGUUCAAAAGUGAAAGACGGUCUUGCUGUCACUUAUAGAUGGAUCCGCGCUGCAUUAGCUAGUUGGUAAGGUAACGGCUUACCAGGGCAACGAUGCAUAGCCGACCUGAGAGGGUGAUCGGCCACACUGGAACUGAGACACGGUCCAGACUCCUACGGGAGGCAGCAGUAGGGAAUCUUCCGCAAUGGGCGAAAGCCUGACGGAGCAACGCCGCGUGAGUGAUGAAGGUCUUCGGAUCGUAAAACUCUGUUAUUAGGGAAGAACAUAUGUGUAAGUAACUGUGCACAUCUUGACGGUACCUAAUCAGAAAGCCACGGCUAACUACGUGCCAGCAGCCGCGGUAAUACGUAGGUGGCAAGCGUUAUCCGGAAUUAUUGGGCGUAAAGCGCGCGUAGGCGGUUUUUUAAGUCUGAUGUGAAAGCCCACGGCUCAACCGUGGAGGGUCAUUGGAAACUGGAAAACUUGAGUGCAGAAGAGGAAAGUGGAAUUCCAUGUGUAGCGGUGAAAUGCGCAGAGAUAUGGAGGAACACCAGUGGCGAAGGCGACUUUCUGGUCUGUAACUGACGCUGAUGUGCGAAAGCGUGGGGAUCAAACAGGAUUAGAUACCCUGGUAGUCCACGCCGUAAACGAUGAGUGCUAAGUGUUAGGGGGUUUCCGCCCCUUAGUGCUGCAGCUAACGCAUUAAGCACUCCGCCUGGGGAGUACGACCGCAAGGUUGAAACUCAAAGGAAUUGACGGGGACCCGCACAAGCGGUGGAGCAUGUGGUUUAAUUCGAAGCAACGCGAAGAACCUUACCAAAUCUUGACAUCCUUUGACAACUCUAGAGAUAGAGCCUUCCCCUUCGGGGGACAAAGUGACAGGUGGUGCAUGGUUGUCGUCAGCUCGUGUCGUGAGAUGUUGGGUUAAGUCCCGCAACGAGCGCAACCCUUAAGCUUAGUUGCCAUCAUUAAGUUGGGCACUCUAAGUUGACUGCCGGUGACAAACCGGAGGAAGGUGGGGAUGACGUCAAAUCAUCAUGCCCCUUAUGAUUUGGGCUACACACGUGCUACAAUGGACAAUACAAAGGGCAGCGAAACCGCGAGGUCAAGCAAAUCCCAUAAAGUUGUUCUCAGUUCGGAUUGUAGUCUGCAACUCGACUACAUGAAGCUGGAAUCGCUAGUAAUCGUAGAUCAGCAUGCUACGGUGAAUACGUUCCCGGGUCU